rnacentral:rRNA from 1 species
GUGAGGAAUUUUCGGCAAUGGGGGCAACCCUGACCGAGCAACGCCGCGUGCAGGAAGAAGGUCUUCGGAUCGUAAACUGCUUUUCUCGGGGAAGAGAAUGGACGGUACCCGAGGAAUCAGCCCCGGCUAACUACGUGCCAGCAGCCGCGGUAAUACGUAGGGGGCGAGCGUUGUCCGGAGUUACUGGGCGUAAAGCGCACGCAGGCGGUCGUGUAAGUUUGGGGUUACAGCUCCCGGCUCAACUGGGAGAGCGCCUUGAAGACUGCAGGACUUGAGGGCCAGAGAGGGACACAGAAUUCCGGGUGUAGUGGUGAAAUGCGUAGAUAUCCGGAGGAAUACCAAAGGCGAAGGCAGUGUCCUGGCUGGUGACUGACGCUGAGGUGCGAAAGCUAGGGGAGCGAACGGGAUUAGAAACCCGUGUAGUCC